UAGGGAAUCUUCCGCAAUGGGCGAAAGCCUGACGGAGCAACGCCGCGUGAGUGAUGAAGGUCUUCGGAUCGUAAAACUCUGUUAUUAGGGAAGAACAAAUGUGUAAGUAACUAUGCACGUCUUGACGGUACCUAAUCAGAAAGCCACGGCUAACUACGUGCCAGCAGCCGCGGUAAUACGUAGGUGGCAAGCGUUAUCCGGAAUUAUUGGGCGUAAAGCGCGCGUAGGCGGUUUUUUAAGUCUGAUGUGAAAGCCCACGGCUCAACCGUGGAAGGUCAUUGGAAACUGGAAAACUUGAGUGCAGAAGAGGAAAGUGGAAUUCCAUGUGUAGCGGUGAAAUGCGCAGAGAUAUGGAGGAACACCAGUGGCGAAGGCGGCUUUCUGGUCUGUAACUGACGCUGAUGUGCGAAAGCGUGGGGAUCAAACAGG
rnacentral:rRNA from 1 species